rnacentral:rRNA from 1 species
UACGUAGGGUGCAAGCGUUAAUCGGAAUUACUGGGCGUAAAGCGUGCGCAGGCGGCUUUGCAAGACAGAUGUGAAAUCCCCGGGCUUAACCUGGGAACUGCAUUUGUGACUGCAAGGCUGGAGUGCGGCAGAGGGGGAUGGAAUUCCGCGUGUAGCAGUGAAAUGCGUAGAUAUGCGGAGGAACACCGAUGGCGAAGGCAAUCCCCUGGGCCUGCACUGACGCUCAUGCACGAAAGCGUGGGGAGCGAACAGG